GGGGAAUAUUGCACAAUGGGCGAAAGCCUGAUGCAGCAACGCCGCGUGGAGGAUGAAGGCCUUCGGGUUGUAAACUCUUGUCUUCUGGGACGAUAAUGACGGUACCAGAGGAGGAAGCCACGGCUAACUACGUGCCAGCAGCCGCGGUAAUACGUAGGUGGCGAGCGUUGUCCGGAUUUACUGGGCGCAGAGGAUGCGUAGGCGGAUAUUUAAGUGAGAUGUGAAAUACCCGGGCUUAACUUGGGUGCUGCAUUUCAAACUGGAUAUCUAGAGUGCGGGAGAGGAAAGUGGAAUUCCUAGUGUAGCGGUGAAAUGCGUAGAGAUUAGGAAGAACACCAGUGGCGAAGGCGACUUUCUGGACCGUAACUGACGCUGAGGCAUGAAAGCGUGGGGAGCAAAC
rnacentral:rRNA from 1 species